rnacentral:piRNA from 1 species
CCCGGGUUGACCUUAGGGGAGAAGUGGAUU